CACUGUAAGUCCAAGUGUUUUAACAAAACACACAUAAAGUGUUUUGUUCCUAUCUUGAAGCAUUGUAGUCAUUUUUAAAACACUUCGAUUUACAGUGAGUUUUUACUGCUUUUUCGAUGUU